UCCGUUAACAGUUUCAAUAGCAACCAUUUUUCAACAAGACCACAGUAUGUACCUUUUGAUCUACUCCCUGAAACAUAAUGGUUUGCUGUAUGGUCAGUUGAUCAGGCCCUGGAACAAAGAGACCUUUUCCUGAACCCUACCUUACCCUAACUUCCUCCUAGUAACUUUCCAUACCCCUAUCUACUUCUCCUAGCUCCUAGCAUAUAUAAACCUGAUUCCCCUUGCAAUAAACGAGACCUUGACGCAACUCAGACUGACUUUGUCUUCCUUUACGCGCCUGGUCUCCUUUCUCUCUCACCCCCAUUGAUCUUUCAGGAGGUGCCUCCUCGGGUCUCAUCAAAUAACGUGGCCCGCGGGACGGGUCAAGUGGCGCCCGAACGUGGGGCUCGAGGCACGGUGACCUACCGGACGACGGAUAACAAAAGGGGCCCCGGAGAGAAUUAGGGUAGAGACGCCCGGACCGCAUCACUCGUGCAACGCGGGAGAGUCUUGAGAAAUGCCUCCGGCUUGGAAAAUAAAGGGAGCCACGGACAUCUCAAUAGCAGGACCUGUUCAUCGCGAGCCUUGGAAAACCAACCCCUGCUUCAUCGUUUGCUUACUACUCUUCCCCCUUCCCCUCUCCUGCAUCUCCAAGGAAAGCCCCCAUGCUAUUAAAAAGCUUACCUGGCGAAUUUUCACAGUAA